rnacentral:rRNA from 1 species
CUCAAGAUAAGAUAUCCCAUCCGUAAGGAGUAAGACCCCUGGAAGACUACCAGGUUGAUAGGUUGGAGGUGUACGCAUGGCAACAUGUUCAGCUGACCAAUACUAAUCGGUCGAGGGCUUGACCUAG